UACGUUAUGGUGUAUUAGCAUAAAAGAUUUUGAUUCUUUAGGGGUAUAUAGCUUACUUAACGUAA
rnacentral:tRNA from 1 species